CAAUUAAUAAUUCCACACAAUAAAGACUUAAUGCCGCUGACUAACACAAAAGAGGCGUAACCGUUGAGGCAGAGUUUUCCUGGGUGGCAGACAGGUUUUUCCACCUAGGCUACCAAAAAGUUUCCCUCCCGGCUGACACACAUUAAUCAGCCUAGGAAAACUGCCAGUUGACACUAAUGAAGUUUCCUAACAAGAUUAAAAACGGCUGAUAAAAGAACGUCAGAAAUAAAUCAGCAUUAAACUUUAGCUGGCCUGAAAAAACAAAAUCCAAAAGUAUUUGUAGUUCAAUGGGUCAGCGAUCAUCGGAGCCAAAAUUAUAUCUUUUCACCGUGAUUUAUAAGCCGGCAAUUACAAGCUCAGCUCACUGAUCGUCCAUUAUCCGGCUUAAUAAUGCAAAAAAAAAAAAAAAAUGAAAAAAUCAUACACCGAAAAACUUUGAAAGAUAUAAAUACCAUUCAGACAAUGGGAAUUUGAAAGAAAAUAGUGAAUAAAUAAAAAACGCCGAAAUCAUUUAUCAUAA